AGGACAUGUGUUGCAGGAUACCUCUUGAGAGCUGCUGGAGACUAUGCCCCAGACCAUGGAGCCCAGGUGCUCCGAAACCCAGGUGGAUACCUGGCUGGCUGCCUGCAGAAGCCCAUGAAGGGAAGGAGUCAUUAGGAGCUUUGCCAGCAGUAAUCCCAGAGGACCUGUGGACUACAGCAUUGGAAGACCGGACUAACACGACUGCUACUCUGAAACCUACCAAAGUAUGCUGGCUGAUCUACAGAGGAUAGCUGCCUGCAACUGCUCACAGUGGAGUUAUGGAAUGAGAUUUUUUUGUUGGGGAGAGGAUUGUGGAAAUUGGUGACUGAAGCAAGCUUUACCAUCAUGUCUGCCACCUCGACAAUCUCCUGGGGACCUCAGGCUUUCAUCACCCUUAGACACAUCCUGACUAGACCCCCAGUCGGAGAGAGGGCUCCAGCUGAAGCCAAAACAUCACCUGGAGUGAAACAGGACUGAGAUUGCUGGAGCUGUUCAAGUUCAAUUAACUUAUUCUUUUCCUCCCAAAAGGACAGUUAUUACAAUCUUCAAUAUCAUCCAAGAGAUUGUCAAACAAGGGUUUUUUUUCUUCCUAAAAACUCUCUACAGCUAAAGGGAGCGAGAUGUUAAAAUGAAAACCAUAAUUAAUACUUUACAUUUCGAAACUUUACCCUUU